rnacentral:rRNA from 1 species
UUAGAGGAAGGAGAAGUCGUAACAAGGUUUCCGUAGGUGAACCUGCGGAAGGAUCAUUGUCAAAACCUGCAAGGCAGUAUGACCCGUGAACCCGUACACCAACCUGGGGAGGCAGGGGAGGUGGGCGUUGGUCCCCUUCCUCUGUUUCCCUCUCUGUUCGGGCAUUGCUCUGAGCCCUCUCAUAGGGGUGAUGAUGCGGUCCCCGGCCUAACAACGAACCCCGGCGCGAACUGCGCCAAGGAAGUUGAACAAGAGAGUGCGACCCCGGGGCCCCGAUCUGCGGGUGCCAAGGGGUAGCGUGCCUUCUAUGAUAGAAAUUAAACGACUCUCGGCAACGGAUAUCUCGGCUCUCGCAUCGAUGAAGAACGUAGCGAAAUGCGAUACUUGGUGUGAAUUGCAGAAUCCCGUGAACCAUCGAGUUUUUGAACGCAAGUUGCGCCCGAAACCAUUAGGUUGAGGGCACGCCUGCCUGGGCGUCUCACAUCACCCUGUGCCCUCCCAGAACUCCUUUUGGCGUCUGGUGUUUGGGGCGUGGUAUAUUGGCCCCCCGUGCUCUAUGGAGUGCGGUCGGCCUAAAAUGACGCACAUGACAUCUGUCGACACAGAACAGUGGUUGGCGAUUAGUCGUUACUAUCCUGUGGUGUCGCUUGCGGUGUCGGCUGUUUUGUAGACCCAGAGUGCCGUUGCAAUGGUGCCUCGGUUGCGACCCCAGGUCAGGCGGGACUACCCGCUGAGUUUA